rnacentral:rRNA from 1 species
ACGCUGGCGGCAGGCCUAACACAUGCAAGUCGAGCGCGAAAGUUCUUCGGAACGAGUAGAGCGGCGGACGGGUGAGUAACGCGUGGGAAAUUGCCCAGUAGUGGGGGACAACAUUCGGAAACGGAUGCUAAUACCGCAUACGCCCUACGGGGGAAAGCAGGGGAUCUUCGGACCUUGUGCUAUUGGAUAUGCCCGCGUCGGAUUAGCUAGUUGGUGAGGUAAUGGCUCACCAAGGCAACGAUCCGUAGCUGGUCUGAGAGGAUGAUCAGCCACACUGGGACUGAGACACGGCCCAGACUCCUACGGGAGGCAGCAGUGGGGAAUAUUGGACAAUGGGCGCAAGCCUGAUCCAGCCAUGCCGCGUGUGUGAAGAAGGCUCUAGC